rnacentral:lncRNA from 1 species
CUUCCAGGCCCGUGGCCUGACUGGGAAGGAGCUGCGAGGAAGCUCAGGCCGGCCGGGUGGAGGCCCUAGGGAAGGAAGGGCCCAGGGGGCAGAAGAGGAUGCACCCAGGAUGGGGAUGGGCAGCCGAAGGUGGGGACACAGGCAUUUGGGAAGCACCAGGGGCAGGACAGGGAAAGGGGGGCCAGGAUGUAUUGGGGUUCAAGGUCCCAAGCCUAAGGAGUGGGGAGCAAAGUUCCCAGGGGUGGAGGAACUUGGGGGGCAAAGUCUCCACUAGGGGGUGACUGGGUGCUCCCAUCUGAACAGGGAGCUGGGCUGGGAUCCAGAAGCAGGGCGAAGGGGUGCCAACCAGAACAGGGGGAAAAAUGAUGAAUGGACGAGGACUGUUCAGGCAGGGCACCGGGGAGAGUAGGGGCGCCCUGGCACACACCCAGAAUGAGGAUGCCCCCAGCCAGCCUGGAAGUCAGGGUCCUGCAGCCGGGGAGUCUAGUGCUGGGCAGGGGUCUGGGCACCAGGCCAGGAUCGGGGAACGAGAAUUAGUCUGGCAGGGAGCGGUGGGAAGAACGAAUGGAAAACGGGGGGACGGGGUUUAUUGGGGUUCAAAGUCUCUGCGCCAAGGAGUGGAGGCAAAUUUUCCAGAGCUGAGGGACUGGGAGUUGGGGGGACAAAGUCUUCAUUACGGAGACGAUCGGGGACUUAAGUUUCCGGGGCGCCGCCAGACUGGGAUGAGGGUGGCGCCACGGGCAGGCGAGGCUGGGGUGGGGGUCCCCAGCGUCUGGUCGAGCUUGACUGAAAGAGUCCCGGGAUUUGGGCGGAGCAGGGGCCCGCGCGCUUACCUCGUCCCAUUUGAUGAACUUACUCCCGCGCCGCAGGGUCUCCACCACGGUGGGCGGCUCCAACUGCAGCGCGUGGACGCCGGGCUGGGCGCCCGCCAUGGCCCGGCCAGGGGCGGGUCGGGGACCCACGGAGCCCUGACGGGGACCGACGGCGCCGCUGCUCCCACCGCGCGGCCCGCUCCGGCCCCGCGGCGUCAGUGCCCGCCCGCCCGCCAG